AUUUAUUUACUUUUUGCCCAUGGCUUCCGGCCAAAUAUUUGGAGAUUCGGAGCUCUAAUCCUAUAAGCCACUGCCAGUGGUCUUAACAGCACAAACGUGUUCACACUGAAAUGGCGGCCGCGGCUUUGUCGCCAGCCACCACUUCCCUCCGCCUAAAACCCUUCUCUGCCGUCCGCCUCCUCUCUCUCUACCACAAAACCACCAAAACCACGGCAGUCCCCAAUAGCUACCCCUGCUUCUUGCCGAAGCCUCCAACACAUUCCAUACCAUCAUAUUCCGUCUGCCGCCGCAGCCGCAGCUUCUGCUCUGUAGUUUGCUCCGCUGUUUCGUCUGGCGAAGCUGUGGAAAGGCCUUUAUCAGGCGACUUUGGGACAAAGGAAGUUGAAGAAAGCAGGAAAAUCGGGGAAUUCCGGAGAAGAUUGAGAAUCGCAGACAUAAAAGGAGGGCCUAAUGAGGGGUUGGAUCGAUUGGGUGAGACUUUAGUGGUUCGAGGUUGGGUUCGGACUUUGCGAGCACAGAGCAGCGUUACAUUUAUAGAGGUUAAUGAUGGGUCCUGUCUUUCGAAUAUGCAAUGUGUUAUGAGCCAGGAUGCCGAGGGUUAUGAUCAGGUGGAGAAUGGUCUGAUUGUAACUGGAGCAUCAGUAUGGAUACAAGGCACUAUAGCGAGCAGCCAAGGAUCAAAACAGAAAAUAGAACUGAAAGUUGAGAAGCUCAUACUGGUUGGUAAAAGUGAUCCUUCCUUCCCAAUUCAGAAGAAGCGAGUCAGCAGAGAAUUUUUGAGAACCAAAGCACAUCUUCGUCCUAGAACAAAUACUUUUGGUGCGGUUGCAAGGGUGAGGAACGCUUUGGCCUUUGCUACACACAAGUUUUUCCAAGAAAAUGGUUUUGUUUGGGUCUCAAGUCCUAUUGUCACUGCCUCUGAUUGUGAAGGUGCUGGCGAACAAUUUUGUGUGACAACCUUGAUUCCAAACUCCAAAGAACCUGCAAAUUCUCCAGUGAACGAAAUCCCAAAAACUGUAUCUGGUUCUAUUGACUGGUCUCAAGACUUUUUUGGGAAACCAGCCUUCUUAACAGUUUCUGGACAACUCAAUGCUGAAACAUAUGCUACUGCCCUCAAUGAUGUCUACACAUUUGGUCCUACAUUCAGAGCAGAAAAUUCUAACACUUCCAGACACUUGGCAGAAUUUUGGAUGAUUGAACCAGAACUUGCAUUUGCUGAUUUAGAAGAUGACAUGUCCUGUGCAGCUGCCUAUCUCCAGUACGUAGUACAAUAUAUUCUGGAUAAUUGCAAAGAAGACAUGGAAUUCUUCAAUACUUGGAUUGAGAAAGGAAUCAUCAAGCGAUUAAGUGAUGUUGUUGAGAAAAAAGUUGUGCAGUUGACUUAUACUGAUGCAAUUGAACUACUGUUGAAAACAAAAAAGAAGUUUGAAUUCCCAGUUAACUGGGGAUGUGAUUUGCAAAGUGAGCAUGAACGUUAUAUAACUGAGGAAGCUUUUGGUGGAUGCCCUGUCAUAAUAAGAGAUUAUCCAAAGGAUAUUAAGGCAUUUUACAUGCGGGAGAAUGAUGAUGGAAAGACUGUUGCAGCAAUGGAUAUGUUGGUUCCUCGGGUGGGUGAACUUAUCGGUGGAAGCCAGAGAGAGGAACGCCUUGAGUAUCUGGAAAAACGCUUAGAUGACUUAAAUCUGAAUAAAGAAAGCUACUGGUGGUAUCUCGAUCUACGGCGCUAUGGCUCAGUUCCUCACGCUGGAUUUGGACUAGGCUUUGAGAGGCUUGUGCAGUUUGCGACGGGAAUAGAUAAUAUUCGGGAUGCAAUACCUUUCCCUAGGACACCUGGCUCAGCCGAGUUUUGAUACUCGACUGCCGCCACCGGGUUUUGAUAGUGUUCAGAAUAUCUGAUGUGCAUGAUUUUAAAGGAGAUGAAUUUUUGCACCAGAGAUGGACAACAGAAUUGCGGCUUUUGAUCGGAAAAAUUCCAUCGUCUGGUAUGUAACAUACACUUGAUUUCACUGCCAUUUCUGAUUCUUGAAUAUUCUCUAUUUUUUUUUUUAAAAACAAAAACUGCUUCUGCAAAAUUGAAACCAAGUAUAACCAAUUAUUUUUUCUUCGCUUAUUUA